rnacentral:rRNA from 1 species
AUUGAACGCUGGCGGCAGGCCUAACACAUGCAAGUCGAGCGAGCGGCGGACGGGUGAGUAAUGUAUGGGGAUCUGCCUGAUGGAGGGGGAUAACUACUGGAAACGGUAGCUAAUCCCGCAUACCAUCAGAUGAACCCAUAUGGGAUUAGCUUGUAGGUGGGGUAACGGCGCACCUAGGCGACGAUCCCUAGCUGGUCUGAGAGGAUGAUCAGCCACACUGGAACUGAGACACGGCCCAGACUCCUACGGGAGGCAGCAGUGGGGAAUAUUGCACAAUGGGCGAAAGCCUGAGGCAGCCAUGCCGCGUGUAUGAAGAAGGCCUUCGGGUUGUAAAGUACUUUCAGUGGGGAGGCGUUACCGACAGAAGAAGCACCGGCUAACUCCGUGCCAGCAGCCGCGGUAAUUC